GAACUUUGUCAAAGGCUUUCUGAAGAUGCAAGAACAAUAUCAACUGAAUCACCCUUAUCCACAUGCUUGUUGAUUCUCUCAAAGAAUUCUAAUAGAUUGGUGAGGCAUGACUUCCCUUUAGAAAAGCUGUGUUGAGUCUUCUCCAACAAAGGAUGUUUUUCUAUG